CAUGGUUGUCGUCAGCUCGUGUCGUGAGAUGUUGGGUUAAGUCCCGCAACGAGCGCAACCCUCGACCUUAGUUGCCAGCAUUCAGUUGGGCACUCUAAGGUGACUGCCGGCUAAAAGUCGGAGGAAGGUGGGGAUGACGUCAAAUCAUCAUGCCCCUUAUGACCUGGGCUACACACGUGCUACAAUGGGCGGUACAAAGGGUCGCGAACCCGCGAGGGGGAGCCAAUCCCAAAAAGCCGCUCUCAGUUCGGAUUGCAGGCUGCAACUCGCCUGCAUGAAGCCGGAAUCGCUAGUAAUCGCGGAUCAGAAUGCCGCGGUGAAUACGUUCCCGGGCCUU
rnacentral:rRNA from 1 species